GUAAUUAUUCCGUGAGGUUUCAAUUCUUUUUUUUAAACAUAGGAGAAUACAGAAGGUUGGUACAUUUUAAAAAGCUUCUUACAUUUAUUAAAAUUUAAAUGUAUUUAAGACAAAGACAGGCAAAGCAUUAACUUUUACAAAUAGUAUGUACUUAUUUACAAUAGAUACAAGGUCAGAGAAAAUAGCUACAUGGAAAUAUGUAUGGUCUACAAUUUUCAUUAAGCAUUAGCUCAAAUAUUAUAUGUUAAAUAAAGAAAUUAGGAUUUGUAACUGCAAAGUACACCGAGCAUAAAAUAUUUUAAGUUUCAGCGGGGAAUCUUUUGAAUUUGGAUUUUGAUAUAUUUCUAUUCUUCUUUCACAUUAUUUAUUAAGGGUAAGAGACCCAUCAAUGACUCGUUAAAUCGCUGCUACGUUAAAUUUCCGAUCAUCGGAUCUGUUCGACUAUUCAUGCAGUCAGACAUAUUUUUCUGAUAACGUUACAUAAAUAGGAAUUUAAUGCGAUUCGACAAAGGUAACAUGCUUUUCACUGCUAAAAACGAGCGCAAUCGUAAUUAACUCACAGCCAGAUAUAUCUGUCUUUAUUUUGUUUCUCUGCUGGAUGAAUCGAUAUUGUUUUUAUGUAUACCUAUCUUAAUUCCAACGAUGGUAUUGCGUAAAAACGAGACGUAAUGAUAUAUUUAAAUAAACAAUUGCCAAUUCAUGUUCUUUCCUAGAUUUUUAGAACACUAAUAUUAUACACUUUAAAUCCAAAGGAUUGAAAACACGACAAAUACUCGACACAUUACUAGUUCCGCCAUUUUCAUUACCAAUAGAAGAAAUCCAACCAACUAAUCUUCUACUUGAACUAGUGUUUAGUAUGAUCAACAUCAAAUUCCUUAUUUCCCUAUAAUUCCUCUCAUAUUACUUAUUAUCAAUAGUAAUUAUUAUUAUAAUAUGGAUUAACAAAGUUUUGUUCGUAAGAAAUAGAAAAAAAAAAAAAAAAAAAAAAAAGAAAAACAAGUAAAUAUUUAUAUUUAUUAUGAUUCAAAGAUCGGGAUCGAUCAGUCUUAAUUUACACACAAAUAAUGCGAUUCGAAUUCAGUUGAAAUUUAAAUAUAUUGAAAGGGGGAGAAAAAAAAAAAGGGGAAAAAAAAAAAAAGAAAAAAAAUUACA